UCGGUUUCUGCUUAGCUUUCCACUCACUCUGCUGCAGAGAUAUAAAUAUGACAACAAACCUCCACACAUCUGAAGGAGUAAAUGUUUCUCUUUUCUGUAACACGUCUGGUGAUCUUACUCUCAUCAGGUGGAAAAAGGAGGACACCCUGAUUUUUGCCUAUAGUCCAUUGAUAAAUACAACAAAGGAGAACUUGACCUCAGCCAGGAUGAGUGUUGACCCUGCUACUCCUAGAACUCUUUAUAUAUCUCACGUACAUGCGUAUGAUGAGGGAAUAUACAUCUGUGAGGCAAUAACUCUUAAACACAAACUAACACAAACAUGGAACCUGACCAGCUACACAGAUGACAGCCUCUCACCAUUUCAACAGAUCAUCAUGUCUGCUGCCAUAUCAGGGAUAAUUAAAAUUAUUGUAUGUGCGAUAAUAUGUAUUUAUAGCAAGAGCAGCUGAGGGACACGAAACCGAAGAUCCAGACAGGACAUCAGGGUUUUCCACAACCAUUGAUUUUGUGGGCCUUAUAGUCUGAGGAGUUCCUUUUUUUACAAGCCAAUCUCUUUUAAUUAAAAGAACUUCUACUUA